UACAGAGGGGGCAAGCGUUGUUCGGAAUUACUGGGCGUAAAGGGAGCGCAGGCGGAUUGGUAAGUCAGUGGUGAAAUACCCGUGCUUAACAUGGGAACUGCCAUUGAUACUAUCAGUCUUGAAUGUUGUUGAGGUUUGCGGAAUGGGUCAUGUAGCGGUGAAAUGCAUAGAUAUGACCCGGAACACCUAUUGCGAAGGCAGCAGGCUAAACAAAUAUUGACGCUGAGGCUCGAAAGCGUGGGGAUCAAACAGG
rnacentral:rRNA from 1 species